AUGUUUUCUUUUCUACUGUCUCUGUUACUUUCUCACAUUAGUUGAAUCAUUGGUUCUACUUUUCUGAGCCAAGGUUGUAGUUGAACUUGGGAAGCAGGCCACAACUUUAUCUGGAAUACAGAUUUCUCUUUUAUAUGUUCAAGUAAUAAUUGCUAGGAUGCUAUUUACACUUUCAAAAUGUUUAUCCACACCAACCAACAAAAUUUUAAACUCAGUGACUUGACAUAACAUCCUUCACCAAAAUAGUCUUAAAUCAUAGAAGUCCGGUGGGAGAGUUCUGGAAUACGCAGGCGGAAACUUACAGCCAUUGGCAAGGGUGACGUGGCGCGAGGGGAGCCACUUAUUUAGUCAAAGGAGGGGCUCAAAGUAAUUUCGCAGUUGACGGUGCCGUUAGGGUAAAGCAUGUUUUACAGAGUCCUUGUGGCGCAUCAGUCACCACAACAGCAUCCCAUCCUUUCCUCUCCAAACCGCAUCAACUCAGACCUCACCACUCCACGUCAUAACCAAAAUCCAAUCUUUGAACACAAACCAAGGCCAUGAUUUUCGUGGGUUUUCCGGGAAAGCAAUUGGGUUUUUGUUUGAAAGGAAGUUAAGGGUUUUGUGAAUGCAAGAGAGGAUGGCGUUGACGAAGCUGAGGAGCAGAGCAGAGCAGAGGGGAGAGUACUAUCCCGGAGCGGUUUAGGUACUUGACCUAAGAAGCUCCUGACCAUCCUGUGAGGUGGCCUUUGUUUCUGGACAAUAGCAAGACUCGAGAAGUUUAAGAAGACCCUGUCUGUGAAGCCCACAGCCCCAGAUAGUGAAUCUGGAGAUGCUGAUGGUGAAGAUUUAUCUGAUUGGCAAAAAUCUCGGUUAAAAUUUGCUCCUGAGACUGGCAAGAUUAUCUCAGGAAAGAUCAUAGUGCAGGGAAGAUCAUCCAAGUCAACAAAGGUUGGGGAUAUCAAGAAAGCUUGUAAAAGACGGGUAAGAGGCAGAGAAGAUGGCUACUGAUGUCAAUUCAUAUUUUGCAGUCAUCAAUUGAUGCUUGAAACUUGCUUUAUCCUCUCUGACUUCUGCAAGAAAAACAGAGGCCAAUGUCAAUAGGCUCGAUAUGUUUUUAUACGUGAAAAAAUUCUAUGUAGUCUAUAAUUGAAAGAUGGGACAACAUUGCUUUUUGGUAACUAGCUGAGUGUUGAGAAGCACUAUCUAGUAUCAGAGAAACAUUAUCUUCCGCAUUUUUGCUGCAAAAAGGUGCUGGCCAUGACUAGCAAUUUAAUCAUAUGCUUUGACAUUUGUGAAAAGAAAAUUAGCAAUUCCUGUGGUUAUAAAGCAACUAUCGUUCUCUUAAAUCUUACACUUUUUUU
rnacentral:lncRNA from 1 species